rnacentral:lncRNA from 1 species
GAGCCUUUAAGCCACAAAUGUUAAUCAAUGGCCCCAUCAAAGAAGGGGGGAAGCCCAUGCUCCUACACGGACUCCCUGAGUUAGAUAUUCUGUAUCAGUUACAUCUUAAUGGUACAAUCACUGAAACCUGGACAUCAGUAUUGUUGCAAUGCUAAGGAAAUUACAACCCACCAAAGUGAUAGGAAAAUUUCCAUAAACCUAAAACAUUUGAACAUUCAGCAGCUGCAAGCAAGAAACCUUUCUACCUGAAUUUAAACAAAGCCUCCUGAAAGUACAUCUGCCAGCAUGAAGAAACUUUGUCUUUUCUGCUGUAAAUCUGUCAGUCGUCAGUUAUUCCCAGCCUCCAUCCCAACCCCUACCAUUAGAACCAAGUCCACAGUCAAGGUAGGGAUUGAUAUAUUCAAGGCAAAGAGCUCUUUUUUCACAAGCAUUACUUAGAAUGAGGAAAGGAAUUCUGUUACACGUUAAGUUUCCCCCACUCCUUUCCCUGCCUCUUUGGUGAUGUGACCUUGCUUAGUUUCUCAUACCUCCUAAAGUGUGGCCUGAUUUAAAAAAAGAAAAAAAAAAAAAAAAAGCAUUCUUGUACACAGUGAACUAUUUUGCAACCCAAAAGAGGGAAUGAGGGAGGAUACCUCUAGGUCCUAAUGUGGAAUAUCUCCAGAAAGGUACAGAGGAUGCCACCUUUUAGAAGGCCCAGGAGGAAAAUAAGCAACUAUAUUUCUAUUUGCUUACACUCAUAUGUGAAGAAUACCACAAUAAUAUAAGAUGAUAAAGGCUUUCUAAGAUACAUGAGCUCUAGCUGAUAGCUUAUAUAAGCCAUAUAAGCUUUUUAAGAUAUAAGCUCCUCUAUGGGGGAGGUUGAAAGUAGCCUGGAUGGGGACAGGACCACGGCUUUUUUCAGCAUAGUUACCAGUUCAAAACAAAAAAAGUUUUAAGUCAGACAUGUGCAGGCAUGAUGGAAGGGGAGCAGGGAUCCUUUAUCUUGGUGGCUUUUGAAAGUUUUUACUCUCCCACGUUGCCGAAACUCGGCUUCUGUCCACUGGUACCAAGUAGAAAUGCGGAGACAAGAGUUUUGGAUGAAGGAGGAAAAAAUAGCUUUAUUGCUUUGCCAGACAAAGGAGGGUCACAGCCGGCUAAUGCCCUAAAGACUGUCGUGUGUGUCCUCCCUCUUUGGGAGCAAAUGGGAGGUGGUUUUAUAGUUUGGGAGUAGAAAAUAGGGUCACUGAUGAGGAUCAGGGUAGAAGCAAGCGUGCAUUGUUUUUCAAAGCUGAUGUUUAGGUGGUCCCAGCAUUGAUUCUGAUGCUCCUUCUUUUGGAAUGAAGAGUGCUACAUUGACAUCUUCCAUUUGUUAGGGUUUUGGCUCUGUGGGAGAACUCAAAGAUAUAUUAGGAGGAACCUGGAUCCUGCCCGGAGGCUGCACUCUUGUCUCUGGACAGCCCCUUCCCGAUCUCUGCAUCCCCUCCCUUCCCUGAGGAGCAACUGUUUGAACCUGCCCUUUGGAUCUCAGGAAAGUUCAGGGAGGCUGAAUGAAGCCUGUUUCCUGAAAAAGAAAUGGGGGACACAGACAAGGCUUGUUCCCAGGAGACCCCAAGGCCCUGCUGAGUUACAUCCAGAGUCAAGCAUGUGAACUGCAGGGUCCAGCCCGGGUGACACAUUAGAAAUGCAGAAGCUCAGGCAUCAUCCUGAGCCUGCUGAAUCAGAGUCUGGGUUGGUGGGCCUGAAAUAUUUCUCUUCUUACCUGAGCUCCCUGCGGUGAUCUGGGUGCUAAGAGUGACAUCCCCUGAUUUAAAUCUCAGGAGCACUCAUGUCAAAGACACUAACAGAGUCAUUGGGAAAAAUUUCCAGGAUAAGCCAGUUCUUUAGUUUAAUUAUGUGUAACUGUAUUUGGCAGUCAGGCUUUGAAGAAAUCAUAAAACUGUCUGUAGUGUGAUGCUGCACAUAUUAUUUAAGACCUAGAGCUAGCAUUUUUAAAAACAAUCCUACUUUGAAAACCCAAAGAACACGUGGUUUGGGCAUUUAUGCAUUUUUAAAAGUCUUAGUGUCAAAAUUUUUAUUAUUAAAUAUUUCUAAUAACAGAAGAGUGUGGGAAAAAAAUAACUGGUACCGAUUUACACACAACCCACAUUUGCUAUUUUUUAAAAGAAAUGCAACCAUUCUGCAUGAACCCUGCACUCCCACAAAGGUCACCUGCACCCGGGGCCCCAGUGGCGAGGCCAGGUAUGGAUCACGGCACUGGAGACCAGACAAAACGUAGCUGAUAUCACCUGGUUUAUUAUACACAGUUAGCACCCAACACAGGUUAGUCGAAGCAGGGAAACUAGAAAAGGGGGUAACAAGUCCUCCCAGGAGAAGCCCAGGAGGGAGGCGUCUUGGCGCAAGUGGCAGUCCUGGUCCAGGAUGCAUGUCCAGAAAAGUGUGGGGGAACGCUGUCUUCCGCUCCAGCAGGGCCUCCGACAGCAUCCUCCUGCGCCAGCUCAGCAGCACAGAGUCGGGUUGAACAGCUGAGAGCCUUCGAGUCUCCUCAGUGUUCUUUCUAAGGCUUCUCCCUGUCCAUGUAAUGGUUACAGCCCAGGGGAUCUUGUCUCCAUCAGUUGGUUCUUCUCUUCACGGAUGUCUUUCCUCAGACUGCACCAAACAGAUUCCUUACCACUUAAUUUAUCACCCUAAGAAGCUGGGUGUCCACAUUGUCCUCUGUGACUCCAUCUUGAAUUACUUAGUGCACCUUAACUUCUGUGAGUUUCCCACGAGAUGAGUAGGGAUCAUAACACAAAAGAAAUCACAGUGAAACCGCACUCCUGAAGCCGAAGCGUAUGCUUCCUGUUUAUGUUUUUAAACUACAUCAGUGUGUCAGUGAGAAUGUAUACUAGAAUCUGGUGUGUUUUUAAGGAGUACAUAAAUGUUCUCUGCCUAAACAAGUCCAUUUGCAGAUAGCUUUCUGUGCUUACUAUUAUAUUUAUUAUACAUUAUGGAUAAAUCCUAGUCUACUUUAACUGCUGCAAAAUAAUUCGAUUCAAGGGAGUUCCUGUCAUGGCUCAAUGGUUAACAUAUGAGGGACCAUGAGGACGCAGGUUUUAUCCCUGGUCUUGCUCGGUGGGUUAAGGAUCUGGCAUUGCUGUGAGCUGUGGUGUAGGUCGCAGACACGGCUCAGAUCCCGCGUUGCUGUUGCUGUGGCUCUGGCGUAGGCUGGUGGCUACAGCUCCGAUUGGACCCCUAGCCUGGGAACCCCCAUAUGCCACCAGUGUGGCCCCAAAAGACAAAAAACAAAAAAACAAAAA